UUUCCGUAGGUGAACCUGCGGAAGGAUCAUUAAAAAAUUGGACUCCAUUGGUGAGUUCAUUAAUAAUCCCUACCCUUUGUGAAUUUGUUUGUUUGAAUAAUUUUUUUUCCAAAAAAAAUUAUUGAAUGUCUUUCCUUGUUUUGGUGGAGCUUGUAAAGUGAAACCAGGCAGGGGAAUGGCAAACAAUAAUUAUUUUUGAAAAAGACCUUUUUUUAAAAUUAAACUUUUUGUAUUCAUUUGUCUAAAAUUAAUUUUUAUAAUAUAAAAACAACUUUUGACAAUGGAUCUCUUGGUUCUCGCAACGAUGAAGAACGCAGCAAAAUGCGAUAAGUAGUGUGAAUUGCAGAAUACGUGAAUCAUCGAAUCUUCGAACGCAUAUUGCACUUUUUUAGUUUACUAAAAAAGUAUGUCUGUUUGAGUAUCAGUAAAAUAUUCUCAUAAAAAACAUUGUUUUUUUUAUGGUUAUGAGUGUUUUACAACGAUAACAAGUUGUUUCACUUUAAAUUCUUUGUUACCAAAAAAAUCAUUAAAAGCUAAUUUUAAAGAUUUUUUAAAAUUGGAUAAAAUUUUCCCGUAAAAAGGAAUAACCUAAACAAUUUUAAAAAAUUAAAAUUGGUUUGAUUUUUUUUGAAACCCAAAGGAAAAAAAAACGAAAUUAACUUGAUCUCAAAUCAGAUAAGAGUACCCGCUGAACUUAAGCAUAUCAAUAAGCGGAGGAAAAGAAACUAACUAGGAUUCCCUCAGUAACGGCGAGUGAAGCGGGAAGAGCUCAAAUUUGAAAUCUUCAAGGUUUUACCUUGACGAAUUGUAGUUUAAAGAAGUGUUUUCUGUUGGAGUUUUGGUAAAAGUUCUUUGGAAAAGGACAUCAUAGAGGGUGAGAAUCCCGUAUUUGACCAUUAUCUCCAGCUUUGUGAUACACUUUCAAAGAGUCGGAUUGUUUGGGAAUGCAGUCCAAAAUGGGUGGUAAAUUUCAUCUAAAGCUAAAUACUGGCGAGAGACCGAUAGCGAACAAGUACCGUGAGGGAAAGAUGAAAAGAACUUUGAAAAGAGAGUUAAACAGUACGUGAAAUUGUCAAAAGGGAAGCGUUUGACACCAGUGUUGUUUUCUCGAAAAUCAAUUAAAAAAGGCCGGAUUUUGUGUUGUAUUGACUUUAUCAGCUUUCUGCACUCUUUUCUUGUCUUUUUUAAUGCACUUUUCGUUUAACAAGUCAACAUCAAUUUCUUUUGUUGUAAAAGGGUCAUUGGAAGGUGGCUUUCUUUUCGGAGAAAGUGUUUAUAGCCUUUGGCCUCUGCAAUCGGAGAGAUUGAGGUCUGCAGCGUAGAUCCUUCGAGGUUAGAUACAUUUGUGCUAAGUUAUAGCCUUUCAUAGACAACUUGUUGACUAUGAUCAGUCAUGUAGCUUACUCGCUUAUGCUAUUU
rnacentral:misc_RNA from 1 species